CUGUCCAAAAUUUAAUUAAUUUUGCCCGGUCACCUGAACACACCCUUCAUUUAUAUUUUUCAUGCAAGAGUCACAUGAUAGUUCAGUGAGCGCUUCAACCAAUCCUAGCACUCAAGCGCGGGUUUAGAAGCUGCGGUGAGUUCCCCAAUCAGUAGUAUGAAGGGGAAGCCACCGGAGCAGCUGCACUCGUGUCCAUUACCGUUGUUUAGAAGCCGACUGGUGCCGCGGGGUGUCAAUUAUCUGCGGGAAUUGGCCAGGUGUGACCAGUGCGGGCCAGUUGAUGGCGAGCCAUUAUUUACCUGGAACAGAACCGGCCCAGUAACCUCAUUGCCUUGUGGGGUUGGUAGGAGGCUAUUGUAGUCUGCUCACCCCUUCUACUCUUAUUCGUACACACACACUACUACACACUUAGAGCCAUUAGAUGAAUUCUGGCUCAUGGACUAUUGCAUCCUAUGGAAAUUCUUGUGUGUUGUGGACCGGUCUUUUUAUAUGAAUAUAUUCUCCAGUUCUGAGUAAUAUUGUGCCUGGGUUUCUAUGAACUAUUGAACCUUUCUGCAUGAUUGGAGAUUUUUGGGUAUUGCGUUGUCGUUGUUGUUUUGUCUUUAUGUUCACUUAAUAUAUGGUACCAACACCAAACUGAACUGAUCUGUUUUGUGUCUUUAUUUACUCUAUCAAUGCCUCCUUGAGACGAACCCUUAUC